GACGAACGCUGGCGGCGUGCUUAACACAUGCAAGUCGAACGGUGAAGGAGAGCUUGCUCUCCGGAUCAGUGGCGAACGGGUGAGUAACACGUGGGCAACCUGCCCCAGACUUCGGGAUAACGCUUCGAAAGAGGUGCUAAUACCGGAUACGAACUCCUUGGGCAUCCUUGGAGUUGGAAAGUUUUUCGGUUUGGGAUGGGCCCGCGGCCUAUCAGCUUGUUGGUGAGGUAACGGCUCACCAAGGCGACGACGGGUAGCCGGCCUGAGAGGGCGACCGGCCACACUGGGACUGAGACACGGCCCAGACUCCUACGGGAGGCAGCAGUGGGGAAUAUUGCGCAAUGGGCGAAAGCCUGACGCAGCAGCGCCGCGUGAGGGAUGACGGCCUGCGGGUUGUAAACCUCUUUCAGCAGGGAAGAAGCGAAAGUGACGGUACCUGCAGAAGAAGCACCGGCUAACUACGUGCCAGCCGCCGCGGUAA
rnacentral:rRNA from 1 species